GAUGAACGCUGGCGGCGUGCUUAACACAUGCAAGUCGAACGAAGCACCUUGAUUUGAUUCUUCGGAUGAAGAUCUUGGUGACUGAGUGGCGGACGGGUGAGUAACACGUAGGCAACCUGCCCUCAAGACUGGGAUAACUACCGGAAACGGUAGCUAAUACCGGAUAAUUUCUUUCCUCUCCUGAAGAGAGAAUGAAAGGCGGAGCAAUCUGCUGCUUGGGGAUGGGCCUGCGGCGCAUUAGCUAGUUGGUGGGGUAAUGGCUCACCAAGGCGACGAUGCGUAGCCGACCUGAGAGGGUGAACGGCCACACUGGGACUGAGACACGGCCCAG
rnacentral:rRNA from 1 species